AAGUCCUUUGCAUGUCCAUAAAACCAUUUUAAAAUAAACUAGCUAAUUUCUACCAAAAAUGGUGAUAUGAUUUAAUGGGAUUUUAGUAAACACAUAGACCAAUAUGGUGGUCAUUUUAUAACUUUAGAAUAUAGAAUCUUUCAUUCUAUUAACAUGGUAUAUCCCUAAAUUUAAGUUUCUAAACUUUUUCUUAUAACACUUUUGGGCAAAGUGUUCUUACACAUCUUUCAGUAGAUUUAUUCUUAGGUGUUUUAUAUUCAUCUGUUGCUAAUAUAAAGAGAUUCUAGUGAUACAGAAGUAUGUUGAUUUUAUACCUAGUGUGUUGAUGCUACACUGCAUUACAUUUCAACUGCGGUUUCUCCGCCUUCUGCCUAGCAAAGAACAUACACUUUUCUGGAUGAUGUAACUGGGAGAAUGCUGUGAGCAGCCCACCCAUGGACAAAAUGGCAGAUGAGCUGUCAGAGAGGCUCACUGUGCUAGUGAAGCAACUUCAGCAAAAGAAGGUGGUGAUUGUUGUGCUGAAUUUGUGCCUCUUUGACUUCAGUUCCGAUCUCUGUCAAUACACAAAUACAAGCAUUGCCUGGCAUUGGUCCAUAUCAAUAGA